AGGAAAGAGAAAUGAAAAAAAAGCAAGUUGCAGAAGUCAACAAAAAAUUGGGUUGAAUAUCCCUGCCCCGUUUUUUUUUUUCUUUGCUUGUGUGUGUAUGUGUGUGUGUGUGUAUCGACAAAUUUUCAAAGUGGCGCAAACUACCGAG
rnacentral:ribozyme from 1 species